rnacentral:rRNA from 1 species
GGAGUUAGGAAAUGCCGGUGGAGGAAUAUUCUGUCGGUUUGACAAAGGCCUAGGAGGAAGCCACGGCUAACUUCGUGCCAGCAGCCGCGGUAAUACGAAGGUGGCAAGCGUUGUUCGGAAUCACUGGGCAUAAAGGGCGUGUAGGCGGUUUGGUAAGUUGGUAGUGAAAUCCCCCGGCUUAACCGGGGAAGUGCUACCGAUACUGCCAGACUCGAGUGCAGGAGGGG